rnacentral:pre_miRNA from 1 species
GAUUUCAACUAAAAAAGUCAUCAACGACAAAGUUAUAAACUUACCGAGAUCUAUAACUUUUAUGUUUGUCAUUUCUUCAUUCGACAAAGUGUUAGUAAAUUAUUCAUAAAAUUGACAUAUAUGCGUUAUAGUUUACAAAACCAGACGAGAGAGAUAUGGAUUUUGUGAACAAUGUUACUAUCACUUUGUCGGAUAAAGAAAUAACCAACAUAAAAGUUAUAGAUUUUGAUGAGUUAUACAUCUUUGUUGUGGAUAAUAUUUUCAGUUGAAAUU